GAUGAACGCUGGCGGCGUGCCUAAUACAUGCAAGUCGAGCGAACAGACGAGGAGCUUGCUCCUCUGACGUUAGCGGCGGACGGGUGAGUAACACGUGGAUAACCUACCUAUAAGACUGGGAUAACUUCGGGAAACCGGAGCUAAUACCGGAUAAUAUAUUGAACCGCAUGGUUCAAUAGUGAAAGACGGUGUUGCUGUCACUUAUAGAUGGAUCCGCGCCGCAUUAGCUAGUUGGUAAGGUAACGGCUUACCAAGGCAACGAUGCGUAGCCGACCUGAGAGGGUGAUCGGCCACACUGGAACUGAGACACGGUCCAGACUCCUACGGGAGGCAGCAGUAGGGAAUCUUCCGCAAUGGGCGAAAGCCUGACGGAGCAACGCCGCGUGAGUGAUGAAGGUCUUCGGAUCGUAAAACUCUGAUAUUAGGGAAGAACAAAUGUGUAAGUAACUAUGCACGUCUUGACGGUACCUAAUCAGAAAGCCACGGCUAACUACGUG
rnacentral:rRNA from 1 species